rnacentral:pre_miRNA from 1 species
AAAAAGACAAACCCUGGUUUCCGUGUCCAACGUUUGACCGUCCGUCUUAUUUGAAAAAAUAUGAAAAAAAAUAAAAAGACAAGUCACAUAUAAAAUAUUAAUCAUGUUUUAUCAUCUAACAACAAUGAAAAUACGAAUUAUAAAAAAAAUUUAUAUAAGACGGACGGUCAAAGUUAGACACGGAAAUCAAGGGUUUGCCUUUUU